rnacentral:rRNA from 1 species
UACCAGCACCCCGAGUGGUUGGGACGAUUAUUGGGCCUAAAGCAUCCGUAGCCGGUUCUGCAAGUCCUCCGUUAAAUCCACCUGCUCAACAGAUGGGCUGCGGGGGAUACCGCAGAGCUAGGAGGCGGGAGAGGCAAACGGUACUCAGUGGGUAGGGGUAAAAUCCAUUGAUCCACUGAAGACCACCAGUGGCGAAGGCGGUUGCCAGAACGCGCUCGACGGUGAGGGAUGAAAGCUGGGGGAGCAAACCGG